rnacentral:piRNA from 1 species
UCCCAUCAUCUUCAGAAUCAGUCUGGACUU